rnacentral:misc_RNA from 1 species
UACGGAGGGUGCAAGCGUUAUCCGGAUUCAUUGGGUUUAAAGGGUGCGUAGGCGGGAUAGUAAGUCAGUGGUGAAAGCCUGCAGCUUAACUGUAGAAUUGCCAUUGAUACUGUUAUCCUUGAAUGCAGACGAGGUGAGUGGAAUGAGGCAUGUAGCGGUGAAAUGCUUAGAUAUGCCUCAGAACACCUAUUGCGAAGGCAGCUCACUAGACUGUUAUUGACGCUGAGGCACGAAAGCGUGGGGAGCGAACAGG